rnacentral:tRNA from 1 species
GGAGAGGUGCUGGAGUGGUUGAACAGGGCGGUCUCGAAAACCGUUAGGCGACUUGUCGCCUCGUGGGUUCGAAUCCCACCCUCUCCGCCA